UGUAAAUCGCAGCUUACACAUGCAGUCGAGCGCACUCUUCGGAGUGAGCGGCGGACGGGUUAGUAACGCGUGGGAACGUGCCCUUCUCUAAGGAAUAGCCACUGGAAACGGUGAGUAAUACCUUAUACGCCCUUCGGGGGAAAGAUUUAUCGGAGAAGGAUCGGCCCGCGUUAGAUUAGAUAGUUGGUGGGGUAAUGGCCUACCAAGUCUACGAUCUAUAGCUGGUUUUAGAGGAUGAUCAGCAACACUGGGACUGAGACACGGCCCAGACUCCUACGGGAGGCAGCAGUGGGGAAUCUUGGACAAUGGGCGCAAGCCUGAUCCAGCCAUGCCGCGUGAGUGAUGAAGGCCUUAGGGUCGUAAAGCUCUUUCGCCAGAGAUGAUAAUGACAGUAUCUGGUAAAGAAACCCCGGCUAACUCCGUGCCAGCAGCCGCGGUAAUACGGAGGGGGUUAGCGUUGUUCGGAAUUACUGGGCGUAAAGCGCACGUAGGCGGAUCAGAAAGUAUAGGGUGAAAUCCCAGGGCUCAACCCUGGAACUGCCUUGUAAACUCCUGGUCUUGAGUUCGAGAGAGGUGAGUGGAAUUCCGAGUGUAGAGGUGAAAUUCGUAGAUAUUCGGAGGAACACCAGUGGCGAAGGCGGCUCACUGGCUCGAUACUGACGCUGAGGUGCGAAAGUGUGGGGAGCAAACAGGAUUAGAUACCCU
rnacentral:rRNA from 1 species